GGAAGGAAGCAUGGAUACUGAGAGAGGAUCUUUCCAACAUGCAGUGAGGAAUGGAAGCAACUGAAUUGAGCAGUACAAGGGGCAGAUCAUGAAAUAAUCCAAGCACCUGAAAUAAAAGCCUUCAGCUGAGAAAAAGAGGCAGCCGCUGCGGAGUUCACAAGAAAGCCAAGAUCUCUGCUGAGACCAUCUAAAUAUAUAUCAAGCCUUAAAAUAAAAGAACACAAGCUAAUGCUCACCACUGCAGACAAGAGGCCCUCUGAAGGUGAAUGGGAUGCCUGGACAAGAACUCAACUGCAAUUUAACCUCUCAUAGUCAGAGUGAGCGUCACUCCCAUAAGAACUAAAGUUCCGAGAGACAAUGUGGCCACACAGCCAGAAAGAGGCUGGUCUGAAUAAAGAGGGAGAAAAAAAAUUAAUUUCUGCUCUUACACACUACUCAAUUCAAUUCUUCUGACAGCAGAUGGUUCUCCACCAGGCAUCAGCUGAGUGUCCCCCAAGGCAACUGUGACA